rnacentral:rRNA from 1 species
CACGUAGGCAGUCCGGCAAGUCGGAUGUGAAAGCCCUCGGCUCAACCGAGGAAGUGCAUUCGAAACUACCGGGCUUGAGUACCGGAGAGGGUGACGGAAUUCCCGGUGUAGAGGUGAAAUUCGUAGAUAUCGGGAGGAACACCAGCGGCGAAGGCGGUCACCUGGACGGAUACUGACGCUGAGGUGCGAAAGCGUGGGGAGCAAACAG